rnacentral:pre_miRNA from 1 species
AAAAAGUUCAUCUUUCAGUUUUUAAAUACAAUAUUUGACUCUUCGUCUUAUUUAAAUUUUUUAUGAUUAAUAUUAUUAUUAUUAUUAGAUGAUAAAACAUAAAUGGUACUUUGUGUGUGACUAAUUUUUUUAGUUUCUUUUAAAAAAAUGAAAUAAGAUGGACGGUCAAACGUAGGGCACAGACCUAAA